UACGUAGGGCGCAAGCGUUGUCCGGAAUUAUUGGGCGUAAAGAGCUCGUAGGCGGUUUGUCGCGUCUGUCGUGAAAGCUUGGGGCUUAACCCCAAGUCUGCGGUGGAUACGGGCAGACUAGAGGCAGGUAGGGGAGAACGGAAUUCCCGGUGUAGCGGUGAAAUGCGCAGAUAUCGGGAGGAACACCAGUGGCGAAGGCGGCUACCUGGCCCAUUCUUGACGCUGAGGCGCGAAAGCUAGGGGAGCAAACGGG
rnacentral:rRNA from 1 species